GACGGAGGUCCCGAGCGUUGUUCGGAAUUAUUGGGCUUAAAGCGCGUGUAGGCGGGAUGGCAAGUACCUUGUGAAAUCCCCGGACUCAAUCCGGGAACUGCUCGGUAUACUGCCGUUCUCGAGGCAGGUAGGGGUCACUGGAACCUUAGGUGGAGCGGUGAAAUGCGUAGAUAUCUAAGGGAACGCCUGUGGCGAAAGCGGGUGACUGGGCCUGUCCUGACGCUGAGACGCGAAAGCGUAGGGAGCGAACGGG
rnacentral:rRNA from 1 species